rnacentral:rRNA from 1 species
AUUGAACUCUGGCGGCAGUCCUAACACAUGCAAGUCGGGCGGAGCGGCGGACGGGUGAGUAAUGCCUAGGCAUCUGCCUGGUAGUGGGGGAUAACGUCCGUAAACGUGCGCUAAUACCGAAUACUAUCAGAUGAGCCUAGGUCGGAUUCGCUAGUUGGUGGGGUAAAGGCCUACCAAGGCGCAGAUCCGUAACUGGUCUGAGUGGAUGAUCAGUCACACUGGAACUGAGACACGGUCCAGACUCCUACGGGAGGCAGCAGUGGGGAAUAUGGGACAAUGGGCGAAAGCCUGUUCCAGCCAUGCCGCGUGUGUGAAGAAGGUCUUCGGAUUGUAAAGCACUGUAAGUUGGGAGGCGUUACCAACAGAAUAAGCACCGGCUAACUUCGUGCCAGCAGCCGCGGUAAUUC